rnacentral:rRNA from 1 species
GUCGUAACAAGGUUCCGUAGGUGAACCUGCGGAAGGAUCAUUA